rnacentral:rRNA from 1 species
GAGUUUACAACUCCCAAACCCCUGUGAACAUACCAUAACGUUGCUUCSGCGGAUCAGCCCCUCGCCUCGCCGCGAGGGCCCGCCAGAGGACCCUUAAACCCCAAACUUUUGUUUUUUUGCCUUGCAAACCCAAUUCUGAGUGGAUUUUUACAAAUCAAAAUUAAAACUUUCAACAACGGAUCUCUUGGCUCUGGCAUCGAUGAAGAACGCAGCGAAAUGCGAUAAGUAAUGUGAAUUGCAGAAUUCAGUGAAUCAUCGAAUAUUUGAACGCACAUUGCGCCCGCCAGUAUUCUGGCGGGCAUGCCUGUUCGAGCGUCAUUAACACCCCUCAAGCCCCCGGGCUUGGUGUUGGGGAUCGGGAACAGCGGAACGGGGGGGGAAAUCCCCCCGGGAAGCCCCCGUCCCCCAAAUGCAUCGGCGGUCACGCCACGGCCUCUUGCGCGUAGUAGCCAAUACCUCGCGCCGGAGCCCGUCGUGGUCCACGCCGUAAAACUCCCGACUUUCCAAAGUUGACCUCGAAUCAGGUAGGACUACCCGCUGAACUUAAGCAUAUCAAUAAGCGGAGGAAAAGAAACCAACAGGGAUUGCCCUAGUAACGGCGAGUGAAGCGGCAACAGCUCAAAUUUGAAAUCUGGCCCUCGGGCCCGAGUUGUAAUUUGUAGAGGAUGCUUUUGGCGCGGUGCCUUCCGAGUUCCCUGGAACGGGACGCCAUAGAGGGUGAGAGCCCCGUCUGGUCGGCCACCAAGCCUCUGUAAAGCUCCUUCGACGAGUCGAGUAGUUUGGGAAUGCUGCUCUAAAUGGGAGGUAUAUGUCUUCUAAAGCUAAAUACCGGCCAGAGACCGAUAGCGCACAAGUAGAGUGAUCGAAAGAUGAAAAGCACUUUGAAAAGAGAGUUAAACAGUACGUGAAAUUGUUGAAAGGGAAGCGCUCAUGACCAGACUUGGGCCCGUCGGAUCAGCCCGGGUUCUCCCGGGUGCACUCCUUCGGGCUCAGGCCAGCAUCAGUUCGGCGCGGGGGGCAAAGGCUUCGGGAAUGUGGCUCCCCCCGGGGAGUGUUAUAGCCCGCUGCGUAAUACCCUGCGCCGGACU